rnacentral:rRNA from 1 species
CUAAUGUAUUUAUUUUAGGUUUAGCCUGCCCAGUGUAAUUUUAUUAACGGCCGCGGUACUUUGACCGUGCUAAGGUAGCAUAAUCAGUUGACUUUUAAUUGAAGUCUGGAAUGAAUGGAUAAAUGGGGGUCAGCUGUCUUCAUAAAAUUUUAUUGAACUUACUCUUAAGGUGAAAAAGCCUUAACUUAAUAAAAAGACGAGAAGACCCUAGGAGCUUUAUAAUUAUUUUGUUGGGGCGACAAGGGAAAAUAUAUAGAAUAAUCUUCCCUUAAUGAUUUUCUACRCAAGACGAGUAUCUAAGAAAGAAAAAGCUACCCUAGGGAUAACAGCAUAAUUUAUUAAU